rnacentral:tRNA from 1 species
UCCCUGAUAGCUCAGUUGGUAAAGAAUCUGCCUGCAUUGCAGAAGCCCCUGGUUCGAUUCCUGGGCUGGGAA